rnacentral:rRNA from 1 species
UACGUAGGGUGCAAGCGUUGCCCGGAUUUAUUGGGCGUAAAGGGCUCGUAGGCGGCCAACUAAGUCGGACGUGAAAUCCCUCGGCUUAACCGGGGAACUGCGUCCGAUACUGGAUGGCUUGAGUUUGGGAGAGGGAUGCGGAAUUCCAGGUGUAGCGGUGAAAUGCGUAGAUAUCUGGAGGAACACCGGUGGCGAAGGCGGCAUCCUGGACCAACACUGACGCUGAUGAGCGAAAGCCAGGGGAGCAAACGGG